rnacentral:rRNA from 1 species
UACGGAGGGGGCUAGCGUUGUUCGGAAUUACUGGGCGUAAAGCGCACGUAGGCGGAUCAGAAAGUCAGAGGUGAAAUCCCAGGGCUCAACCUUGGAACUGCCUUUGAAACUCCUGGUCUUGAGGUCGAGAGAGGUGAGUGGAAUUCCGAGCGUAGAGGUGAAAUUUGUAGAUAUUCGGAGGAACACCAGUGGCGAAGGCGGCUCACUGGCUCGAUACUGACGCUGAGGUGCGAAAGCGUGGGGAGCAAACAGG